rnacentral:lncRNA from 1 species
ACUUUUCUUUUCUAGUGAUUUGGAGGUUAUACUUCCUAUUGCUGUCUUUCUAAUCAUUACUCAACCAUGUGAACAGACGUAUUGAAGUGGUGGAGCAGAUAAGGAGGUCUUCAGGUCUGGAGCUGUCCAGGAGCUGAGACAGUCUCAGCUGGUAGCUGGGACACUCUUGGGGAGUUCCCCCAGCUGAAGAAAGUCUCCCUGCCGAAGUCAUGAUCUUUCCCAGGGCAGCCCACACCCCACAUCUAACGGCUGGUUGAUGUUGGAGGUGCGGUGUCAACUCUCACCCCAACUCUGCCACGUCAUGCAGCUCCAGAGCACCCCGUGGGACCCGCUGGGGCCUGUCAUGCCUGCGACACAGCCCCAUGUCUCCUUCAGCCCCAUCCACCCAACCCUGCUUCUUUCACUCAGCUGCAGGGAAUGAUCCAAACUUCCUGCACGCAAAUCUCUAGCGCAGAGUGUUUCCCAGGGAAACUGGCUUCCAAAGAUUGAUUUGUCUAACAAGUUCUAACACACACCAUAAUAUACAAAUGGGCAGGGCCGAUCGUGAAAGGUGAUCAGUUUUAUGAAGAGGCUUAUCUGUGUGCUGGUUCUGGUAAUAUCCCAUUAGUACAUUCUCUGGACCCUUUAUAUUGUAGUUGUUUAAAAUGGGUUGAAAUUUCAGAGAUCUUGAUACUGGAAAAUGUCAUUUGUUGUAACCAAAAUCCACCUGGAAAAGCAUACCACAGAUAUUUCAAUUUUAAUUGUAAAGUGAAGUUGUUCUCUUGACACCAACAAUUAUCUUAUAAAUAACCUAAUGACCUAAUCAGAACACAAAUUUGCAUCAAUUGCCGGGUGCUUGGAUACUUGGAGUGCAGGGCCAAUGUUUUCUAGUUUUUAUUAGUUUUUCAUAAGGUAGUUUAAAAUAAUCUUUGAUGCUGAAGUUUGGCAUUGAGGAUGUGAGAGGUAGGUAGUAGAAAUUCGUGUUUGACAUUAAAAAGCAGUCAGUUAUGCAAUUCUGUGUUUCCCGCUGCAACCAGCUCCAGGGUGCCCUGACACUGACAGCUCAGCAGAAGGGCACGAGGUACCUCCUCCCCAGACCAAUAAAAGGAAAUUAGAACAAGAACACAUGAACUAUGUGAUGCUCCUUGGUUCUCAGGGCUGUGAUUCAGUGACUAUGUUAGUUUCUGCUAGUAUUGAAGAUUUUGCAGCAGGCAAAUAUGUGAGCAAAGAUGACAUUUAAGUUCUAUAUGCUUCACCCACCUUAUCUUUGGAUCCCCCAGUCAAAAAGUUUUAUUCACUAGCAAAUAGAUAAAUAAAUGAUUAUCAGUAAAUGUGCUGUCUUAGCACCUCGCACCCCAACCAGCCCCCACCUUGAAACACUAGCUGUCAGGUGCCGUUCUCAGUGCACUGCACAUAUGUUGGGGUGAUCAGACCCAACACCAGGUCGUGGGGGUGACGAAGUCUGGCAGAGUCAAAGGAUUGAGAAAAAGUUUGAGAAGUAAAGUGGGGCCAGGGGACCAUCGCGAUCAUGGAGGCUGCAAAGGCCCCGAGCUCUGGGAGCCCACGCUAUUUAUUGGUAAUCCAACAGAGAAGGAGGUGGCCAGAAUGUGGGGGUCAAAAGGGCGUGUUGCAUCAAGCACAUGAUUUAUAGCUGUGAUGGUUUAGCAUUUGCUCUACUUGAGAUAAUGGAGAGCAGGUUCUUUUAACUCAAGAUACAAUCGAUCCUGGGAGAGCAAGGAGCAAGGAGCCAGCAAGCCUAGACACAUUCCGGAGCCACAAGCCCUGGAUUCUAUCCAAGCCACGAGGGAUUUUAUGCCCUGGGCUUAGAUUAGGUACGUCAGGGUAGCCUUCCACUCUUUAGCACAGAGCUUGGUGUGCCAAAGGGCACAAGGGGUUUUAGACCCUGGACCCCGGACAUGUUCCAAGACUCUUUUACUUUAUGUCAGACAUGCAAGCCCUGCCUCGGCUUCUUCCCAACACUCAGCUUUUUCCCAACACACGUAUUCACUAACUCAGGCCUCAGCACACCUUACUGGGUAGGUGCUACCAUCUGCCCAUUUUAUAGAUGAGGAAAUAAAGGCCCAGAGAUGAUAAGAAACUUGCCCAGGGUCACAUAGUCAAGAAGUAAGUGACUGUAUCAGUCAUCUAUGGGUUUGUAACAAAUUACCCCAGGAUGUAGUGGCUUGAAACAAUAUUUAAUAUCUCACAACUUCUGUAGGUCACAAAUGCUGGCAGGGCUUAACUGGGUCUUCUGCUUCCAAGUCUCUGUAAACUCAGAUAAACUUCUAAGCCCCCUGCUGACUGAAUGGACUCCUUGUGAUCAAGAGGACCCCAGAAAAACCUUAAAACUAAACUCCCAGCCAUAGUGGGAUGUGAGGUCAGACACACCUCAUUCUACCCCCUCCCUUUUGUGGUUUAGACACAACUGACCGACAUUAAUGUUAACACAGAGAUCUUAAGACUGGCAAAUAGACUCUCUGUAGCAGUAAGAUACCAGAUUGUAAACAGGACCCAAGGCCAUGCCAGGCAAGGGUUACAUCACACAUCCCUAACCUUUCUUCUAACGGCCAAGGGUAUUUUUCUCUAGCAACUAAACAAGCACUGGCCUCGAGAUACGUUAAACAAUUCCAGCUCAUCCAGCUCAGAGACGUUAACCAACCGACCCCAUUCCACCAGCCAUAACUGCAGCUUUGACUUGAACUUACUGAAAUCUCUUUGUAUACUACAAAGAGCCUGUAGUACAAAGCGAUUGAUUCCAGUAACUUUCUCCUGACCAUGAACUGGUCCUGGCUGGCUGUACACUUGGACACCUUCAUGUCCUGAAAAGACCUUUUGACAUAUAGGGUCUAACUGUAGUACAUUUAAAUGUUAAGUCUCCAUCCCAAAGUGAACAUGGGUGGUAUGUUACACGAACAUUUGUCCCAUACACAUGUGCCAGGACCAUCCUGAAUAUUCAUAGCUCCUCCUGUCACCUGUUGAAUAUGCAUGUUUAGCCAACCAGUUCGGCAUAAAGCUCCUGUCCCAGCUUCUCUUCCUCCAUGGUGUUUCUCUCUGGUCUUGGCUGGAGGCUGUGCUUCCCAGGCUGCAGGAUGGCCACCUUGCAGGCUGAAACCUUUACAAGAAA